rnacentral:rRNA from 1 species
GAUGAACGCUGGCGGUAUGCCUAACACAUGCAAGUCGUACGGGAGUUUUUAACUCUAGUGGCGGACGGGUGAGUAACACGUGAGAAUUUGCCUUUAGGAGGGGGAUAACAAUUGGAAACAAAUGCUAAUACCCCAUAUGCUUUCGAGUGAAAUGGAUUUAUAUUUAUCCGCCUAGAGAGAAGCUCGCGGCUGAUUAGCUUGUUGGUAAGGUAAGAGCUUACCAAGGCGACGAUCAGUAUCUGGUUUGAGAGGACGAUCAGACACACUGGAACUGAGACACGGUCCAGACUCCUACGGGAGGCAGCAGUGGGGAAUUUUCCGCAAUGGGCGAAAGCCUGACGGAGCAAUACCGCGUGAGGGAAGACUGCCUAUGGGUUGUAAACCUCUUUUUUCAGGGAGGAAUCAAUGACGUGUACCUGAAGAAUAAGCAUCGGCUAACCCCGUG